GGUCUGGUGGCAGAUAAUGCGGAGGAUUGUAAACCCUUUUAUGUGAGUUUCAAUCUCACCCAGACCU